CACCCGUGGCUGGUGGGAGUGUGGAAUGGCGCAGCCGCUUUGGGUAGCUUCUGGCCCAGGAAAAUGACCGUGACUCUUGCUGUUGUUUGCUUGGUGUCUCUAGCUGUUCUUCCCAUAACGAAGAGCUCGAAGAGCUCGGGGCCGAGCAUCCAUAACCUGAACCUUAAUGGGGCUCUCGCUGGGAGCUCUUAGAUGAGGUUCCUGGGAGUCCAAGUGCUGAGUCAGCAAGAGCAUGCCUUGCAAAGCCCCUGGGACCAAGAGGAGCAGACAGCUAAGGGCUGCCCCUGAGGAAGCCAGAUCAGGCAAAAUGGGAACAGGGAGGCAUCACAGCUACCCGGAACAGAUGCUAGCAAUGUGGGUGCCUGGACGAACAGGCAGGCUGCGGGAGGCACAGAGAGCCCCGGCUGCAGCACCACAGCAGCUGGCAAUUCUCCCACAGGCCUCAGCAGCCACGCACAGAAGGGGUGGCCCUGCCCUGGUGGGAGGCAGAGGCUUGGAGGCCCAAGUACGGCUUCAGGUCACAGCCUACACGCCAUGGUGCAGAAGAAGCCUGCUCUCCCUGGGCAGCUGUAGCUACAGAACCUACAAACAUCUGGCCAGUUCGGAACGCUCAGCCUCUGCGCCAAGCACGUGAGCUCUCGUAGCUGUGGCCACCGGCCAGCAAGCACUGCCCACUGGCUCUCUGCCUGCAUGGGACCAGUGCUGACCCUGCCUGCUCUCUGCUCUGUUCUUUUAAAGGUGCUUUUAAAGGUCUCAUUCUACCGGAGGGAAAAAACUCAGAAAGAACACACUUCACUGCUCUGGAUUCGCAGCACCCCCAUCCCCUAAUGCUAGGGUUUUUCCUCACUUCCAGCAUUCUUUCUGGAGCAUGAAACCAUGUUUGCUGAGGCUGCUCAAACCUCUGACUCCUCCUCCCUUCCUGCUGUGUUCCACAAACAAAAGCUGGACCCCAAGCCAUGGAAGCCAGGGUUGCAGAGUGACGUCCCCUUUGGCCAGGGCGGCUAGGCUACCCUGAGCCUCAGUCUGCACCUCCCUCUGUUCUCAGUCAGGCUGGAGAGGCGCCUGGCAUUGCCCUAGCUUCUAAUCUGUCCUUUUACUGUGCAUGAGAGCAAUCUCUCUACAAAUGUUGGCUCAGAAGAGUCCAAACUCAGCACUGGCCAAACAACACUUGUCCAAAAGCUGAAACUGAACCUCUAGGCCCAAACUGAACACAACCUCUGCAUUUAGCCAAAUCUGAAAUUAGCUUGUAAAACACCACGUCGGGCGGGGGUGUAGGGAGUGCUUGCCUAAUGUGCUGAGGCCCUGAAUUCAAGCCCUAGAGGCACUACAUUAAAACUAAGCAAAAUACUUUGUACCCCUGCAUACUACAGGAUUCUAAAAAUGAUGUUAGCGUCUCUGAAUUUGCCUGUCAUUUUAUUUUGUGCCAUUGGACUUCCAAAGGCACCCAAAGCAUUCUCAGACUCGAUUGCCCAAAAGGCCCAGGCCUCCCUGAAGCAGAUGGGCUGGCACGCUGGGGUGGCUGUACCCACUGCAGGGAGACCAGCAAGGUGACACUCUCAGCCUGCCCGUUUCCAUCCUGGCACCUGUUGCUUGGCAACCCAGUGGAGCAUCCAGCUGGGGCUGUUUUGGAAUGCAGUAGCCGUAGAAUUCCUCAGCACUGUCUAGGAGCCCUGCUGACCCCCCUGCACUCCCAAUCAUGGGUUCUGUUCUACAUUUCCAGGGCAAAUCCAGGCACCUUGGAGAUGCAGUACUGGCAAAAGCACGUGGGCUUCUGUUUUUUCUGUUUUAUGCAGCCCAUAAAACCAUCUUGCUCAGUGCAUAAUACCUGAGCGAAAGCCCUGAGGGAUUUUAACUUGCUCCGGCAAGGGGCCGGACAAUCGAUGCCUGUUUCGUUCAGCAGGCGCACAGCCAGGCCAAGCUAAACCCCAGGAGGAUGCACCUCCAUCCGCAGCCCACGCCAAUGCCUCUUCGUUCAGGCACAAAAGGACAGAAGGCCUGAGAGCUGCACCGGGCACUUUUGUCACCACGCCUGACCUUGGCAAACACACGGCAGGUUAAAAGGCAAAAUAUAGAUCAUGCUGCUGCUGCUGGAGUCAGGGGAAAGGCCAGCUGGGAAACAGCUGAUCCAGGCAUGCAGGAGGCAGCUAGGAUGCCGGCUGCCCGGAGCCUGGCUCUGGGUAUCACCGUGGAAAGGACAUACAUGCCACGUGACAUCUUCCGUCAAGAGGAGAUGGGCAACUACAAAACACUGCUGAGGGGGCAUAGCGCUCAGACCUUCUGGUGAUGUGGCUCUGCAAUCAUUUGGGGUUCAGCUGUGUCAUCAGACCACUUGCAUCGUAUGACCUGUGACCCCGAGGUAGUGCAAAUUCUCCCAUGCUUUCCUGAUGUAAUAAUCAGAACCCUGGAGUGAAGUCCUGAGUCUCCUCAGGAAUCCUUAACGUCUGAUGAGUCUCAGCCCCUCCCAAGGCAUCAGAUGCUCCAGGACCCCCUUAGUAACCCACCGCACCAUGGAGCCAGGGCACAGGACAGCUGGGUUGCCUCAAUUUGACUAAACAGAAAAAGAAGAGUAAACUUUGCCUUCCUGUUGUGUGUUGUGCUUUUCCUGUUUGCUAUUCCUAUUAUUCCACAACAGGAAUAAAAGCACGUUCAUCCCUGUCCAGGGGUAAGCAGUCCCCAAGUGAGAGCCUGGGGAUUAUUUCGCUAAGAGAAGUCAUCAGAUUUUUUUAAAAGGCAGCUAGAAAGGAUGUAGAAGAAAAAUCAGAGAAUACAAAGAGUCAUUGUUUCUGCCUUAGCACAGUCUCAGAAAAAAGAUACUCCUGACUCUAAACCAAAUCCAACACACCAAAACCACACACCAAAUCCCAGCACAGAGCUUGACUCCUCUGCUUUGCAAAUGUGUCCAAAAUUAAAGUGAUUUUUCCUGUGUGGCUGCACCUUGA